rnacentral:rRNA from 1 species
UCCUACGGGAGGCAGCAGUGGGGAAUUUUGGACAAUGGGGGCAACCCUGAUCCAGCCAUGCCGCGUGAGUGAAGAAGGCCUUCGGGUUGUAAAGCUCUUUCGGCCGGAAGAAAUCGCUCAAGCUAAUACCUUGGGUGGAUGACGGUACCGGAAGAAGAAGCACCGGCUAACUACGUGC